GCCGCGGCGAUAGCUCAGCGGGUAAAGCGCCAAUAAUAAGUUCAAUAAAAAUCUUUUUAUGUAUGUAUGUAUGUAUGUAUAUAAGAAGAUGGCGAUUUCUCCGAGAACUAUUAUCUGCGCGGGUUCGAAUCCUGCCUGUGGCA